rnacentral:tRNA from 1 species
GCUAGCGUGGUUUAAUUAAAACGUAACACUGAAGAUGUUGAAAUGGACCCUAGAAAGUUCCGCUAACA